rnacentral:lncRNA from 13 species
GUGAGACAGGAAUGGGACUUCUCACUCCCGUCAUGGACUCAAUCCAGAACUGGCAGCUCAGUUUUCAGGCUUCAGACUGUCCUUGACCUGAAGGUUAAGUUUCACUGGGAAGUCAUCCUUGUCUGCCUAGGAACUUGUCUGUCUCCUGUCACUAUCACUGGUAGCUUCAUCAGGAAAAUGCAAUUUGAUAUAUGUGUUCAGGAAGAAAGUAUUGGAGAAUGGUGCACUCUCUAAAGGGCUGCCUGGUGAAUGUUCUGGAGAAAGGGCAUUAUCCAGCUAGGAGGAAAUGGCAGAAGUCAUGAAAUAGAAGAAAGGCAGAAGAAAAUGGAGAUUGGAGGGUGGCUUUUGUGGCCUUAUAUACUGAAAUUGAUCAUUGAACUGAGUUGCCUGCCUGCAAGAGAAAACGCUCUCCAGAAUUGCUGUGGUGUGCUUUCAAGUUCCCAGCCUAGCCGCACUCCAGAAUCACACCAUCCCCGGCCUAAUGAAUCAGCAUCUCCAAGGUUUGUCAGAUAAAAUAGAAGAUACCAGGCCAGGUGAGGUAGCUCAGACCUAUAAUCCCAGCACUUGGUAAGCAAAGGUGGGUGAAUCACUUGAAGUCAGGAGUUAGACCAGCCUGGCCAACAUGGUGAAAUCCCAUCUCUACUAAAAAUACAAAAAUUAGCCAGUCGUGGUGGUGUGCACCUGUAAUCCCAGCUACUCAGGAGGCUGUGGCACAAAAAACACUUGAACCUGAGAGGCAGAGGUUGCAGUGAGCCGAGAUUACACCACUGCAAUCCAGCCUGGGUGACAGAGCAAUCUCUAUCUGAAAAGAAAAAAAUAAUACACACACACACACACACACACACACACACACACUUAUGUGUGCUUAUAUAUACUAAAUGUUUAUAUAUGUGUGUGUAUAUAUACUAAAUGUUUAUAUACUAAAA